rnacentral:lncRNA from 1 species
AGUGUGAGAGAGAGGGAGAGGGUGUGUGCGUGCGUGUGUUGUGUGCGUGGGCUGAUGGAGGAGAAGAAAAGGGGAGAAAUCCCUUUUAUACAAAGCCCCUUAACACUAUUCACUUCAGUUUAGCAGCACGAUACAGAUAUUUUUCGCUUGCCCUUCUGAAUGUCCGUUUGAGCUCAAAUUUGACAGUCAUGCUCGGUUUUACUUAACUUAACGAAAGAAUUUUUAAUCUUUCAGCUUCGACCCCGUUUGGUCACCGAAAGCUCUACCGAACUGUAAUCUCUAGCAGAUAGCAGUCGGAUUUUAUUUUUCACUUUUUGGGUGUCAGAAUGGUAUGAAACUUUAAAUCUAGUCUCAUAAAAAUAAUUCUGACAUAUUCUUCAGUUUUCAUAAUUUUCUGACACUGUACAUUUUCUGCUAAUUUAUCUGCCCCGUUUCUCACAUAAAAUUUUAAAUCUUCUGUUUUCGCUCCGAUUUCAACACAGGUCAUUUCCAACUUAUAUUUCACUUCUCUAAAUCCAAUAAAAAUAGUAUCUCAUACUAUUUUUAUUUAUUUUUAUUUUUAUAUCAAAAUCUGGUAUGUUACAUUCUCCACCCCUUAAAAGAAUUUCGUCCGCGAAAUUCAAACCACGCCUCAAUUUAGCUCCUCGAGCAAUUGAGUGCAUCAAUGCACUUUCCUACUCCGGAAUGGCCUUACGUUCAUCGGAACGAUUCAAAGGCCUGCUACGGAGGAUACGAAAUCAAACGCAUAUACGUUUGCAAGGCGCAGCACAUAAAGUGCAUUACGGCCUCCAUGAUUCUCGGUGGCAGCGCAAGUCAAAACUAGACGACACUACGCGCUCCAACACCACGUGCCACAAAGGUCUAUCGCCUAACCUGUCUAAAUAUGCAGCGUCUCUCGCUCGCAAAUGCAGACCCAAUCAUUAUCAGGCGAAAUUCUCACUUGGGAAUUCGCACACACUCCAACCAGGAGCAACUAAAAUUCCAAACCUUUACAGAUCCCAGGGUUGGGUUACCAUCGCACUCUCGGCAUACUAUCAAUCGCACGAUACGCUCUACCGAGCCACACGUACCACUAUCGGCUUCUAUGCACCUAGGGCGAGCCACCAGCCCUAGGGCGAGCCACCAGCCCUACGAGUGAUCCAUGGCAUGCUUCACACCUAGCAAUGCUCAAAUGCUACUGCCAACACACUCCCUCGGCUGAACCAAAUCCGCACUCCACGAGUACCUAUACUCGAGCGUCGUACGCUACUAUAGCGUUCUACACUAAGUCUUGGCUUUGGGCAACAUUGCCCCCGCGCACCGUCUACCAAACACAUUCUCCUACCUCACAUUGAGGUACAAUUAGGCCCACAGGCCAAACUUGGUUACUAACCAACUAUUCCGUCAACAGUGAUUCUACUUUCACUAUUCGACCCACAGGAAUGACAUCCGAAAUUUUCGGAUUACUCGGGUGUCCUCAAAUACACAGCUCAACUCUCGCAAUCGACUAAUUAAGUUGUACUGAGAGUCGCUUCACCAUUUCCAUCUCUAUCAUGAGUCUCAUCAUCUCUCACCAUAUAUCACUACUAGCACUUCGCUAGUGCCAUCUGGCUCUAUACCUGUACUGGCAGAUACUAUGCCCUCACAACACGAGCAUACCCGGGUAUCUAUACUUACCCGUCCACUCGGUCUCUACUAUGCUCAUGCACGACAAUAGUAAUUAACCACAUAACCAUCGCAUGCAAUGCAUGAAUUUCACAUCAUGCAAAAGCAUAUGCUUGCUUUAAUUAACUCAUACCUACAAGCCGUCGUCAGCAACAGGGUCCUCAACCUGGGUCGUGUAUCUAUGGCUACCCGGCGCUCGCCGCGAACCCUUCGGUUGCAUCGUCCUUAAUGCCCUCUCUCCCAACUAUGCCGUAGGUGGCACACCUACAGACCGUCACAGAGAAGAAUAGGCUGUCGCCAGUGUCAGUCCCGGGCUGUCACCUUGCGGACACUCGUCAGCGCACAGCCCGGUUGCCCACACCUGUAGCACUUGCCCUUUCACAGCUCAUACUAUUGUGGGUAACGAAAACACCCUCAAACAACACAUCUCACAAAGGACCGAAUACAGUAGGUCCCGGAACUCGGGAUCGCGAGCGCGAACACAUUGCACUCGGUUGAGAACUUGACGGAUCACCAAAUCCACUCGUUGGUCGUCCUAUUUCCUUUUUUCCUGCAAUUAGACUCACGCUCCACCCGCACAAUUGCACUGCCUUAUUCUAUCCACAAGGCCUAAUCCUUAAAUCUCCUCCAAUCUCCACCAAUCCACACUCGGGAAGGGCUCCAAGAGAAAUAGAGGGAGAAAAAUCACAUGUUGGGUGGUCUCUGGCUGUGAACAAGAGAGGAGGAGUUGGUGGGGUCUAUAUAGGAUGCCACAAUCGCAUUUAAACCCUUCCUCCAUUCAUAUUUGCAGCAGACCAAUUUGGUGCAGCCAGACCAAAGUGUACCGGUACACUUUGGGCUGUCACCGGUUACACGAUUCCGCAGAGGCAAACCCGAGAGCAAGGUUCUCGGUUACGUGGGAUUUGUACCGGUACACUUUCAUUUUGUACCGGUACGCUUCCAACCUUUAUCAAACCCGAGAGCAGCUCUCUCGGUUAUGCACCAUUUGUACCGGUACACUUUCGUCCAUCCACAAACCCAAGAGCAACCUUCUCUCGGUCUGCUGGUUGUACCGGUACAGCAUUAAUGUUGUACCGGUACACUUUGCUCCAGAAUGCAGCUUUAGCUCUGAUUCUACUCUACUUCGCGCCGAUCAAUGCUAAAACCUCUCUAACUCUUUCUAAACUCAAUUUUAACCCUUCCAACAUUGUUGGAAUGUCAAUUGGACUUUGUCCAACUAUUUCUCUGGACGCAUUUUGGUCAAUUUGACAAAAAGUGAUCUAACACGACGAGAAUUCCGUUAAUUUCUCAAAGGUCACGAGGGCCGCCAAAACUCGCGAAGUUCCAAGUCUCCGCUCGCCUCAAACUAGCCAGGGACACCACUUGGCCCAUCCCGCGCCAAUCUAAACGAAGAUCGCCUACGCAGUGCUAUCGCUUCCUAAAAUGCGACAACUCUAUUAAUCCUCGACCUUCUAGGUCGAACACGAGACACUUAGGGCGUGUUUGGUUCAAAGUCGGAAUCGGAAUCAGAAUCGGAAUCGAAAUAAGCUGGAAUCGGAAUCGGAAUGACUCAUUACCUAAUUCUGUUUGGUUCAUCACCUGAAUCGGUGGCUGCUAAGACUAAGACUAAAUCCACUACUUGGUUCAGGUAAUAUAAAAAACGUAAUCAGAUUAAUAUAUUAACUUAUCUUUAUAUAUAUUAAUUUAAAUUCAAAUUAAAUAUUAAAUAUUAAAAUUUUACAUCAAAAUUUGAAAUGAUGUCAAAAUUUAAAUCUAUUUUUUUACACAAAAUUAAACUUUGAAGUUGAGUGGAUAAUUCGAAAUAUAAAACUAAAUUUCAAUUUAUUCAAAUUCAAACUUAAAAUUACAAUUUAAAUUUUAAUUUGAAUCCAUAAAUUUAAUUUAAGUUUUAAAUAAAAUUUGAAUAAAACUUUAUAUAAAUUAAAAUUUAAUUUAAAUUCAAAUUCAUAAGUUAGAUUCGAAAUACUUGAUUAAAUUUUAAUUUUUAAUUCAAGUUCAUAUUUAAAAUUUAAUUUCUAAAUUUAAACUCAUAUUUUAAUUAAAAAAGUUGAAAAAAUAAAUUUAAUACGAAUAAAUAUCCAUUUCGUCCGGAUUCAACUCCCAAUCCGGCCUCCUAAGCCGGAUUGAAAAAAGGGGUGAUUGGGGGAUUCCCAUUCCACUCGGGAAUCGGAAUCGGAAUGGGACUCCCGCGUACCAAACACCCACAAACGGAUUCAUCCAUUCCGAUUCCGAUUCUAGGGUGAAAAAGAAGUGAACCAAACACGCCCUUAAUACCGACCCAAAUCGGGCGAAAGUUACACAAGGGCGUCUAUUCUCAUCACUCGGUUUUAUGUUGUGCGCGCCCAACACGAACACCCUCAGUUGAAAAUAAACCACACCUUAAAUCUAUCUCUAACAUCCGUUUUAGAGGUUUACGACACAACCCAAUCAAGUAACCUUUCGCCAAAAGUCACAAGUCCUCGUCUCUCACGAACCUUAAUCUUCUAUGGUUCACUAUCCUAGGGUCUUCUAGGUCCGACUAAACUAUUUUCUAUUAUUCUUUUUAUUCUCUGAUACCAUCUUAUCUGUUACACCCCGAGCCCGCCUCUUUGAUCAGAUUCGAGCAUGCCGACAAACCGCCGAACGGAUAGAGUCUCCCCUGUAUGUCCAAGGCGUCGCAAUCAAUACAGUACAAGAGAUUCCAACUAGGAACAGUAUUCAACCAUAGAUUGCAUAAGAAAGUAUCAAAAACAUAAACAACUAGCUAUUACAAGCAUUCGUCUCAAUUUAACAUUUAGGUUACAUAUUACAUUGCUUUAACUAGAUUCUUACUUCCAAAUACAAUCCAAGUUGCUACAAAUUAUUACAAGUUUGAUUCUUUGUCCUCUAAACCCCUAAGCUAGACCACCUCGAGGUACGGCUAUCUCUGGUCUCUAGGGUAGGGCGCUGUCUACGGAGCUACGUCCUUUCCUCGCGCCGCCGCGCCGCUCACGUGUGUACCUGUAACACCCCCAAACAACGUGGAGUGAGAACCAACUCCAUGGUUCCCAAUGAGGACGGCCUUCUACAACAGGUAUUUAUACUUUUACUCGAUAUUGAACUACAUGUCAUGCCUCACAAUAUACAAUAUGAAAUCAUGCAACUAUCAAAGUAGAUUAAUUGAUACUACUUCCCAUUCUUAGCCAUUCUUUAUUAUUAGACACUCAUUCUUUACACUUUAGCUAUUCUUCACCAUUAGCCAUUUUCUUGCAAUCAUUAGCUAUCCCUUAGCAUUAACCGUUUCUAUUCCUUAUUCUAUAUUCUUUAUUCUUUAUUCUCUACUAAGGGCACUCACACCUUAAUCAUAUUAUACACAAUUGCCACUCUUUCCUAAGGUUACUUUACCUUAGCCAACUAUGCCACUCGACUCGGUCUUGAGUCAAUCAACUGCGGAUAAUCCGUGCUCUGUCAGGUUCGAGGCGAAGGACGUCUCACAUGCACCUCAGCCUUAAAUCCUCUAGACUAUAGGUCUACUCACAGGGUGAGGAUAUCCGUCGAACCCCAGACCACAAGUCGCUCAAUAGACCUACGGGCGAGGAGAACUACACGUACCCGCAUCCCCAAUCUCAUACUCAAACCGAGCGACGAGAACCACACGUACCCGAUGAGUCACUGCCAGGCGAGGAGAACCACACGUACCUGCAGUUGCCAUACACUUGCGCUCGGUCGUAAGGCUCAUCCGCUGCACUAGCAGCACUCAUUCCUAGGGAUUUCGGAAUCCACAUUCUUAACUAUAGGGUUGGUCGUAAACCCUAUAGUAUUGACCUAUCUAGAUCCCAAGCAUUCCUCAUCCUAAGGUUUAUAACAUUAGGUCCAAUGUUCAUUAUCACCUAGGUUCACUUGACUCUAGGUUCAAUGCCACUCUUUUCAUAGCCAAGGUUUACUUGACGCUAGGUUCAAUUCUCAACCUAUGUUUAGUACACAAAGUUUAAUGCAACUCACCUAGGUUUAUUUAACUCUAGGUUCAAUCUCAACCUAUGUUCUCUAACAUUAGGUUUAUAGCCAAUAUUGUUUAACCUAUGUUUGUUAACACCAGGUUCAAUAUCACUCCUGUUCAACCUAUGUCCUUGACACUAGGUUCGAUGCCACUCGAUCUAAUAUAUAUAUACAUAUGUCCACAUGCACUUGUCAUUUAACAUAGUUCUCUAUAUGUCAACUUGCACUCGUUUAGCAUUCUCAUGUCAUUAUUCAUUUUCUUAGCAUUAACCACAUGCUUAUCAUGUAUUCACUUAGCAUUCUUACAACAUACAACAUGCAUUCAACUAGCAUUAAUCAAUGCAUUCAUCUAGCAUUUCUAUAACAUGUUUAUCAUGUAUUCUUUGAGCAUUCUUAUUUCAUAUCAAUAUGCAUUUCAACAUGUUUCUACACAUUCCCACUAGCAUGUUCUUAUAAUGUCAACAUGCAUAUGCCAUUUACUUUAUGCUUUCCACUAGCAUUAUUCACACUAUGUCAUCAUGCAUUAUUUGGUAGCCCAACAUAGCAUUCAUCCUAUGCAUUCACAUGUUCUAUCAUUAGCUACCACUAUAUGCAUCAAUGAUAAACACUCAUCUUAAACAUACAAGCGACCUAGUCGCUUCGGUAAACACAACCCACCUUAACUUAUUCUCCGAUUGCUCGUAGUCACUUGCAAUCGGUCUCCCGCGGCACCCGUUGCCCGGUUCGGCCCGAACUCGCGCGCGACUACCCAAACGACCAUCGAUCGACAAUCUGAAAAUUAAAGGUCUAUAACUAGAUGCCACGAUACUCCGGAUCCAUUUUCAUGAUUUUUGGAUGCCGCCUCGGCCCUCCAGGCGGAAAUGAAGCCGAAACGUCCGUUUCUUCAAUAUCUUCACAUAGGCUAGACGAAUCGCCGAACCGACUUCGCCAACAUGUUCGUAUACCUAGCAAUUAGGUUUACGUAGGGUUAAUUUAGAUCAAACCCAAACAUUUUACAAAAACCCCAUUUUGAACCCUAACAUGCUACUAUUGCAAGAAAUCAUCAUACAGCUCAAUGAUUCAAGCAUUAACCCUCUAAUUAGCAUCUAGGAGUUCCACUAAAUCCAUUCUUAGAGCAUAUAAUUGAAGCCGUAGAAUUCUACCAUUGUUGCUAUCAAAUCUUACCUCUCAAGCUAGCACCAAUGGAGAUGAAGAAGACGAAGAAGAAAAUGAUCCACCUUCUUGAUUCCUUCUCCACCAAUCCUUCUCUUGAUUCCACCUUCAAGAGAGAGAGAGAUCCUCCUUCUUUGCAAGUGUGAGGGAGAGGGAGGGGGGGUGUACGUGCGUGUGUUGUGUGCGUGGGUUGAUGGAGGAGAAGGAAAGGGGAUAAAUCUCUUUUAUACAAAGCCCCUCAACACUAUUCACUUCAGUUUAGAAGCACGGUACAGAUAUUUUUCGUCUGCCCUUCUGAAUGUCCGUUUGAGCUCAAAUUUGACAGUCAUGCUUGGUUUUACUUAACUUAACGAAAGAAUUUUUAAUCUUUCAGUUUCGACUCCGUUUGGUCACCGAAAGCUCUACCGAACUGUAAUCUCUAGCAGAUAGCAGUAGGAUUUUAUUUUCCACUUUUCGGGUGUUAGAAUGGUAUGAAACUUUAAAUCUAGCCUCAUAAAAAUAAUUCUGACAUAUCCUUCAGUUUUCAUAAUUUUCUGACACUGUGCAUUUUCUGCUAAUUUAUCUGCCCCUUUUUCACAGAAAAUUCUAAAUCUUUUAUUUUCACUCUGAUUUCAGUACAGGUCAUUUUCAACUUAUAUUUUACUUCUCUAAAUCCAAUAAAAAUAGUAUCUCAUACUAUUUUUAUUUAUUUUUACUUUUAUAUCUGUGACACCCCAAUAAUCUCACAUCGGAUGGGAAUGUGGUUGUCAUUGGGUUUAUAAGAGACUUAGACACUCGUAAUAAUAACUGGGCUUAAGCAUUUUGGGCCGGUGGUUGGGCUCAACGAGUUAUUGUUGCUAGCGGGUCGGGUCGUUACAUUUGGUAUCAGAGUCGGUUCACCAGCUGGAUAUGUGUGGCGAGUCUCGGCUGAGCCAGGGUCUGGAUGACGGGCUAGCGAGACGAGUCUCACAUCGCCUGGUGAUCUUGGGCUGUGUGUGUGAUUGGACUGACGAGGAUGUCAGGGCCUUAGC